rnacentral:rRNA from 1 species
GUGGGGAAUUUUGGACAAUGGGCGCAAGCCUGAUCCAGCAAUGCCGCGUGCAGGAAGAAGGCCUUCGGGUUGUAAACUGCUUUUGUACGGAACGAAACGGUCCGGGUUAAUACCCUGGGCUAAUGACGGUACCGUAAGAAUAAGCACCGGCUAACUACGUGCCAGCAGUCGCGGUAAUACGUAGGGUGCAAGCGUUAAUCGGAAUUACUGGGCGUAAAGCGUGCGCAGGCGGUUUUGUAAGACAGGCGUGAAAUCCCCGGGCUCAACCUGGGAAUUGCGCUUGUGACUGCAAGGCUGGAGUGCGGCAGAGGGGGAUGGAAUUCCGCGUGUAGCAGUGAAAUGCGUAGAUAUGCGGAGGAACACCGAUGGCGAAGGCAAUCCCCUGGGCCUGCACUGACGCUCAUGCACGAAAGCGUGGGGAGCAAACAGGAUUAGAUACCCCAGUAGUCC